rnacentral:rRNA from 1 species
ACGGCUCAGUAACACGUGGAUAACCUGCCCUUGGGUCCGGCAUAACUCCGGGAAACUGGAGAUAAUUCCGGAUAACGCAUAUAUGCUGGAAUGCUUUAUGCGUAAAAUGGAUUCGUCUGCCCAAGGAUGGGUCUGCGGCCUAUCAGGUAGUAGUGGGUGUAAUGUACCUACUAGCCUACAACGGGUACGGGUUGUGAGAGCAAGAGCCCGGAGAUGGAUUCUGAGACAUGAAUCCAGGCCCUACGGGGCGCAGCAGGCGCGAAAACUUUACAAUGCGGGAAACCGUGAUAAGGGGACACCGAGUGCCAGCAUCAUAUGCUGGCUGUCCAGGUGUGUAAAAUACACCUGUUAGCAAGGGCCGGGCAAGACCGGUGCCAGCCGCCGCGGUAACACCGGCGGCCCGAGUGGUGAUCGUGGUUAUUGGGUCUAAAGGGUCCGUAGCCGGUUUGGUCAGUCCUCCGGGAAAUCUGACAGCUCAACUGUUAGGCUUUCGGGGGAUACUGCCAGACUUGGAACCGGGAGAGGUAAGAGGUACUACAGGGGUAGGAGUGAAAUCUUGUAAUCCCUGUGGGACCACCUGUGGCGAAGGCGUCUUACCAGAACGGGUUCGACGGUGAGGGACGAAAGCUGGGGGCACGAACCGGAUUAGAUACCCGGGUAGUCCCAGCCGUAAACGAUGCUCGCUAGGUGUCAGGCAUGGCGCGACCGUGUCUGGUGCCGCAGGGAAGCCGUGAAGCGAGCCACCUGGGAAGUACGGCCGCAAGGCUGAAACUUAAAGGAAUUGGCGGGGGAGCAC